UCGCUAUAGGGAAGGAUGAUGCAGCGCUGCCCCGCGGCCUCGUGGGGUUUUAUUCCCUCCCCCGUUCCUCGGGGGGUAUCUGUAGGGCUGCAGUGCUCCCGUCCCAUUCACACGAGGGGUUCUGCGGGAGGAAAGGACAGCGGAUCUCCUGCCGGCCCGAAUCCUGCGCCGUCUUCUCCCCUUGGUGCUUCUCCAUCACCUGCAGCACGUCCUCCAGGAUGGACGGCCCCAAAUCCACGUGGAGGGAGAGGAGGGAGCCGGCGUGCGAGAGGAAGGGCUCGGGGCUGCUCUUCUCCUCCGAGAAACCGUUCUGUGGGCUGCAGGGACGCGGGACGGCAGCGGCGGCGGCGGCGGCUUUGUCAUCCAGGUGGAGCCGUGGGGGUUUUGGGGGUGCUUGGGCGGAAGGAAGGGUCAAAGCUUGCGGCCCCCCGAUGACGGGCAACGAAAUGGCGUUUUUGAGGAGGGGAGAGGAGGUUUCGGUCGCCUGCUGGCGGCCGGAGAUGGUGGCCGUCCUGGAGAACUCGAAGGGAGCGGCCUCGGGGCUGUCCUUGUCGGAAUGGAAGCCGCUCUCGGUCCUGGGGAGGAGGUGGAAUUUCCCCUGGAGGAAGGAGAUGUCCCCAAACAUGUCGCUUUCGCCGCCACUGCCGAUGUGGAUGGUGUGGCGGAAGUCCCCCAGCGGGGGGCUGAUCAUGUCGGACGAGAGGAUGUCGCGGAGCUUCUCCUUCUUGCCCUUCCUGCUGCCCCGCUUCAGGUAGAUGGGCGCCUUGGUGGACAUGGUGGUGGAUCCCGGCUGACGGACUGAGCGCCGAUCUGAGGAGGAAGAGGGGAAAAUCGGGCUGAACCUCAACACGUCCCAGGAGCUCUGCAACCUCACUUUGAAGAGCAAUCUGCAAUAAAAAGGAGGAGAAUCGGUAAGAAAGGCACUGAGAAGUGGGGUAUCCCAUAUGGGGCUGAACCUCAAUGCGGCCCGGGAGCUUUGCGAGGCCUCUUUGAAGAGCAAUCUGCAGUAAAAAGGAGGAAAGUUGGUCAAAGAAAAAGAAAAAAAAGGCUCUCCAAAGUAGAGGUUAAUAUUUAGGGCUGAAGCUCAGCGCAUCCCGGGAGCUCUGUGACGUCGGUUUUAAGAGCAAUCUGCCAAAAAAAAGGAGGAAAAUUGGUAAAAGUUAAUGCUCAAAAGCAGAAUGCAGCAUUAGGGCGGAACCCCAACGCAAUCUGAGCCCCGAGUUUUGCAGUUUUCCCCCUCAUUUGUCCAUUUUCAACCCUUAUUUGUGCACUUUUAACCCCGUUUCUGCCAUUCUAACCCCAAUUUAUGUAUAUUUUCACCCCAUUUAUCCAUUUUCAGCCCUCAUUUACGCACUUUUAACCCCAUUUAUGCGUUGGAGGAGCUCUGUGAUGCGGCUUUUGAAGCCGAUCUGUGACUACCGGGAGGAAAAUGGGUUGAGAAGGACACUCCAGAGUAGGACAGAACCUCACCACGGCCCUAAACCUUCACUGCACUGAACUGAAAGGCAGCCUGCAAAGAGGAGGAGGAAAAGGGGUAAAGAAAGAGGAGGAAAAACAGUAAAAAAGAGGAGGAAAAUCGCUAAGAAAAGGCACUCGAAAGUAGAACUGAACAUUUAGGGCUGAACCUCAGCGCGGCCCAGGAGAUGAAUUCCAGCUGCUCUCUAUCUCGCCUCCAUUGGCUGCGUAAUUGAUAACGAAACGAGCUGGUAAUUAGUUCCAGACACGCAACGCCUCGUUAAAGGCUCUAUGGAGUGGUUCUGAUGUGAGAAAAAUCCGGAAUCCAGCAGGAUUUGGGGCCUGGAACUCAAUAUCAGAAGGUCUUGGGGUCGAAUCCAAGGUUUCGAAUCCGAGGUUUUGGGGGAAAACUCAGAGAUUUGAGGUCAAACGAAGGUGUCGGGUUCAAACCCAACGUCUUGAGCCCAUAGUUUGGGGGGAAAACCCAAAGAUUUGGGGUUAAACCGAGGUCUUGGGCUCUAACCCGUCUUGAACCUGAGGUUUUGGGAGAAAGCCCAAAUAUUUGGGGGGAAAUCCCAUAGAUUUGGGGUCAAACCAAGGUUUUGGGCUCACACCCGAGAUCCUGAACUUGAGGUUUUUGGGUAAAACCCAAAGAUUUAGGUUAAACCAAGGUCUUGGCCUCAAACCCAAGGUCUUGGAUGUGAGGUUUUAGGGCCUGGAAUUCAACCUCGGAGAGCAGCGUUGGCUUUUUUGAGCCAAAAAAAGGGGGAUUUUGGUUCAUCCCGAGUGACGGACGAUCCCCUUCCUCUCGGCCGUCCGCAAUCCGACCGCACCCACGCUUAAAACACCCAACACAGAUGAAGGGGAAGGAAACUGUGAUGGGGUUUUUUUUUUUUUUGCUCUGUUUUUACCGAAAUCCAACAGUUUGCGUUUCUCGGGGUGAGUUUUCAAUAGAAGAGUGAAGAAACCAAAAAUGGGCUUUUUUUGGUCCCAAAACCCCCCCCCCAAAAACGUUGGGGUGGAAUGAAUGGAGGGUUUCCUUGGCUGACUGAGCCCUGAUUAUUAACAGCCCUGAUUACUAAUUGCUCUGAUUGUUAACGGCCCUGAUUACUAACAGUGCUUCUGCUUCUUAUUUCUUAGGAAGAAAAUCCCAUUCUUUGGCCCUUAUAUGAAGUGGAUCCAUUUCAGCGGUGGCUGUGGGACCAAAGCUGAGGUUUUUGGGGUGAAAUCUGAAGUUUUGGGGUCAGAGCCGAGGUUUUGAACCCGAGGUUUUGGGGGAAAACCCAAAGAUUUGGGGUCAAACCAAAGUCUUGGGGUCAACCCAAGGUUCUAAGCCUGAGGUUUUGGGGGAAAACUCAAGUUUUGGGGGGAAAUCCCAAAGAUUUGGAGGUCAAACCGAGGUCUUGGGGUCAAACCCAAGGUUCUGAACCUGCUGUUUUGGGGGAAAACCCAAAGUUUUGGGGGAAAUCCCAUGGUUUUGGGUACAGAACAGAGAUUUUCAACCCCAAA